rnacentral:lncRNA from 1 species
AUCUAACCCACUAACAUGACUCGCUAACACACAAACCCCACUCACCAGAACCACGAGAACCGGUUUCCCAAAACCGAUUACCGAACAAGCCGGAAGUCUCGAAAAUCGCACCGGAACUCCACCGUCGCUCACCCGUCGUUUUUGAACCCUCGAAACGACGCGGGUGACCAGCCAACAAGGCUCAGCGACGACGCAAAUAAUCACCAAGUACCGUCGGAAGAAUUCCGAACCAAAACCCGCGUUUCGUCGGCGGAUUUCGCCGAGAAACGCAUCGGAAAUCACUUUACGGUCUC